rnacentral:lncRNA from 1 species
AAACUUUGUUCAACCAGAUUCUGUGUACCCAUUAUGGUCACUACAUGUUUUCAUCAAAAAUAAUUCCUGAAGCUUAAAUUUUUUCACUAUUUUUGCUAGAAAAUGGGUUGCUAAAAAUUGUAAAGUAAACUAGCGUUUUGUAUCUAAAGACUAUAAGUCUGAUAUAUUUUUUUAUUGCAUUUACCAACGUCCCUAGGGACAAGCAAUGUUGUACCAAUCACCAAUGUUUGGC